rnacentral:tRNA from 1 species
GGCACUAUGGCCGAGUGGUUAAGGCGAGAGAUUCGAAAUCUCUUACGGUUUCCGUGCGCAGGUUCAAAUCCUGCUGGUGUCG